rnacentral:misc_RNA from 1 species
CAAAUGGGUCCAAAGACUCCUAAAACCUACCGUGCUCCCCUAUGUGGAAAACAGAAAGCCCUCCGGGGCAUCAGGAAAUCUGAGAAUUGAAAGGAACUGCGCCUACGGCGCAUGACGAUACAAAUAAUUA